rnacentral:rRNA from 1 species
UUAAGCGACUAAGCGUACACGGUGGAUGCCCUGGCAGUCAGAGGCGAUGAAGGACGUGCUAAUCUGCGAAAAGCGUCGGUAAGGUGAUAUGAACCGUUAUAACCGGCGAUGUCCGAAUGGGGAAACCCAGUGCAAUUCGUUGCACUAUCGUUAACUGAAUACAUAGGUUAACGAGGCGAACCGGGGGAACUGAAACAUCUAAGUACCCCGAGGAAAAGAAAUCAACCGAGAUUCCCCCAGUAGCGGCGAGCGAACGGGGAGCAGCCCAGAGUCUGAAUCAGCUUGUGUGUUAGUGGAACGGUCUGGAAAGUCCGACGGUACAGGGUGAUAGUCCCGUACACCAAAAUGCACAGGCUGUGAACUCGAAGAGUAGGGCGGGACACGUGGUAUCCUGUCUGAAUAUGGGGGGACCAUCCUCCAAGGCUAAAUACUCCUGACUGACCGAUAGUGAACCAGUACCGUGAGGGAAAGGCGAAAAGAACCCCGGCGAGGGGAGUGAAAAAGAACCUGAAACCGUGUACGUACAAGCAGUGGGAGCACCUUCGGGUGUGACUGCGUACCUUUUGUAUAAUGGGUCAGCGACUUAUAUUCUGUAGCAAGGUUAACCGUAUAGGGGAGCCGCAGGGAAACCGAGUCUUAACUGGGCGUUAAGUUGCAGGGUAUAGACCCGAAACCCGGUGAUCUAGCCAUGGGCAGGUUGAAGGUUGGGUAACACUAACUGGAGGACCGAACCGACUAAUGUUGAAAAAUUAGCGGAUGACUUGUGGCUGGGGGUGAAAGGCCAAUCAAACCGGGAGAUAGCUGGUUCUCCCCGAAAGCUAUUUAGGUAGCGCCUCGUGAAUUCAUCUUCGGGGGUAGAGCACUGUUUCGGCUAGGGGGUCAUCCCGACUUACCAACCCGAUGCAAACUACGAAUACCGAAGAAUGUUAUCACGGGAGACACACGGCGGGUGCUAACGUCCGUCGUGAAGAGGGAAACAACCCAGACCGCCAGCUAAGGUCCCAAAGUCAUGGUUAAGUGGGAAACGAUGUGGGAAGGCACAGACAGCCAGGAUGUUGGCUUAGAAGCAGCCAUCAUUUAAAGAAAGCGUAAUAGCUCACUGGUCGAGUCGGCCUGCGCGGAAGAUGUAACGGGGCUAAACCAUGCACCGAAGCUGCGGCAGCGACACUAUGUGUUGUUGGGUAGGGGAGCGUUCUGUAAGCCUGCGAAGGUGUGCUGUGAGGCAUGCUGGAGGUAUCAGAAGUGCGAAUGCUGACAUAAGUAACGAUAAAGCGGGUGAAAAGCCCGCUCGCCGGAAGACCAAGGGUUCCUGUCCAACGUUAAUCGGGGCAGGGUGAGUCGACCCCUAAGGCGAGGCCGAAAGGCGUAGUCGAUGGGAAACAGGUUAAUAUUCCUGUACUUGGUGUUACUGCGAAGGGGGGACGGAGAAGGCUAUGUUAGCCGGGCGACGGUUGUCCCGGUUUAAGCAUGUAGGCUGAUUGUCCAGGCAAAUCCGGAUAAUCAAGGCUGAGGUGUGAUGACGAGGCACUACGGUGCUGAAGUAACAAAUGCCCUGCUUCCAGGAAAAGCCUCUAAGCAUCAGGUAACAUCAAAUCGUACCCCAAACCGACACAGGUGGUCAGGUAGAGAAUACCAAGGCGCUUGAGAGAACUCGGGUGAAGGAACUAGGCAAAAUGGUGCCGUAACUUCGGGAGAAGGCACGCUGGUGUGUAGGUGAAGUCCCUGCGGAUGGAGCUGAGACCAGUCGAAGAUACCAGCUGGCUGCAACUGUUUAUUAAAAACACAGCACUGUGCAAACACGAAAGUGGACGUAUACGGUGUGACGCCUGCCCGGUGCCGGAAGGUUAAUUGAUGGGGUUAUCCGUAAGGAGAAGCUCUUGAUCGAAGCCCCGGUAAACGGCGGCCGUAACUAUAACGGUCCUAAGGUAGCGAAAUUCCUUGUCGGGUAAGUUCCGACCUGCACGAAUGGCGUAAUGAUGGCCAGGCUGUCUCCACCCGAGACUCAGUGAAAUUGAACUCGCUGUGAAGAUGCAGUGUACCCGCGGCAAGACGGAAAGACCCCGUGAACCUUUACUAUAGCUUGACACUGAACAUUGAGCCUUGAUGUGUAGGAUAGGUGGGAGGCUUUGAAGCGUGGACGCCAGUCUGCGUGGAGCCAACCUUGAAAUACCACCCUUUAAUGUUUGAUGUUCUAACGUUGGCCCCUGACCGGGGUUGCGGACAGUGUCUGGUGGGUAGUUUGACUGGGGCGGUCUCCUCCCAAAGCGUAACGGAGGAGCACGAAGGUUAGCUAAUCCUGGUCGGACAUCAGGAGGUUAGUGCAAUGGCAUAAGCUAGCUUGACUGCGAGCGUGACGGCGCGAGCAGGUGCGAAAGCAGGUCAUAGUGAUCCGGUGGUUCUGAAUGGAAGGGCCAUCGCUCAACGGAUAAAAGGUACUCCGGGGAUAACAGGCUGAUACCGCCCAAGAGUUCAUAUCGACGGCGGUGUUUGGCACCUCGAUGUCGGCUCAUCACAUCCUGGGGCUGAAGUAGGUCCCAAGGGUAUGGCUGUUCGCCAUUUAAAGUGGUACGCGAGCUGGGUUUAGAACGUCGUGAGACAGUUCGGUCCCUAUCUGCCGUGGGCGCUGGAGAAUUGAGGGGGGCUGCUCCUAGUACGAGAGGACCGGAGUGGACGCAUCACUGGUGUUCGGGUUGUCAUGCCAAUGGCACUGCCCGGUAGCUAAAUGCGGAAGAGAUAAGUGCUGAAAGCAUCUAAGCACGAAACUUGCCCCGAGAUGAGUUCUCCCUGAGACUAUAAGUCUCCUGAAGGAACGUUAAAGACGAUGACGUUGAUAGGCCGGGUGUGUAAGCGCAGCGAUGCGUUGAGCUAACCGGUACUAAUGAACCGUGAGGCUUAACCUU